rnacentral:rRNA from 1 species
GAUGAACGCUGGCGGCGUGCUUAACACAUGCAAGUCGAACGAUGAUGGGAGCUUGCUCCUGGAUUAGUGGCGAACGGGUGAGUAACACGUGAGUAACCUGCCCUUAACUCUGGGAUAAGCCUGGGAAACUGGGUCUAAUACCGGAUAUGACUCCUCAUCGCAUGGUGGGGGGUGGAAAGCUUUAUUGUGGUUUUGGAUGGACUCGCGGCCUAUCAGCUUGUUGGUGAGGUAAUGGCUUACCAAGGCGACGACGGGUAGCCGGCCUGAGAGGGUGACCGGCCACACUGGGACUGAGACACGGCCCAGACUCCUACGGGAGGCAGCAGUGGGGAAUAUUGCACAAUGGGCGCAAGCCUGAUGCAGCGACGCCGCGUGAGGGAUGACGGCCUUCGGGUUGUAAACCUCUUUCAGUAGGGAAGAAGCGAAAGUGACGGUACCUGCAGAAGAGGCGCCGGCUAACUACGUGCCAGCAGCCGCGGUAAUACGUAGGGCGCAAGCGUUAUCCGGAAUUAUUGGGCGUAAAGAGCUCGUAGGCGGUUUGUCGCGUCUGCCGUGAAAGUCCGGGGCUCAACUCCGGAUCUGCGGUGGGUACGGGCAGACUAGAGUGAUGUAGGGGAGACUGGAAUUCCUGGUGUAGCGGUGAAAUGCGCAGAUAUCAGGAGGAACACCGAUGGCGAAGGCAGGUC